rnacentral:lncRNA from 1 species
UCCCAGUUUAAAUGGUUUAAAUUCUUCAAACAGUUUGUAUUUUUUGCACCGCCAGUACACAGAAGCGUUUUAUAACGAUCUUUAUUGAUAAAUCGAUAUGUGGCCAUUGUUUAUUGCGUUUUGAAGAGCACUCGCUUCGUCUUUCCAACAAGACGCGUAGGUUCGGCGCUCCGAUUUGCAUUUAAGCUGUCAUCUUCUCGGAAGCAGGCACUCAUGCUUGGAGACCUGCAGAGCACGAACUGCAGCAUGUAUGCCGAAAUAAACAGCUAUUGCCUAUUUAAAAUAGAACCAAUGUAA